AUCAAUGAUCCAGAUAACUAGGAAUAAAUGAAAAGGGUACUACCAAAGUGGUAUAUAACAAAAUCGAAUUACACCAUGAUCACAAUACAUGGUAAGAGAGAGAGGCUUUGGUAUCAUGAAUUUAGUUGCAACAUCAAACUUAAAUGUUCAUGCACUAAAACAGUGUAAAUUUAACACAGCCAGUGGGACAUACUGUUGGAAAUAAUCGAUUAGAUACUAACAUCAAGUUAUCACUGGACACGAAUGGUACAUCUUGAAUUUUGUACAUGGGAACAGGAUCAUUAUAUGUACACAAUGCACAAAUGAUGGUUAGGACGAUUUGACAAUUCAUUUACAAAAAAUCCCAUUGCCAAUAAACUUUCUCCACAAUCCCUCCACCACUCCGAACUGCAAGGCGAAGUGUUUCUGAAGCAGGAGGAACCCCCCAAAGAUAUGGUACUGCCACUGUCAUUGUUAGCUUUUCAUGCAAACCACCUUUGAUUGCCUUCUCUGCAGCAACAACCUGAAAAAUGAAGACUCACUCAUCCUUAGCUUAUGGGUAAUCCACACAAACAGACUGCCAGAUAACAUGUAUGCUAUAAAAGCACAAAUGCCAAAUGCAUAACCACUUGGAAAGGUAGAGCAAGAUCGAGGAGGAAUCAUCUAAAAGAAAAUACUCACCUCUCAUUCACACAAUAGAAACAUUUUGAAACUGAAAAACAUUGAUAAGCAUGGAAGGAAAGUUCUGUUGCUUGAGGAACUCACACAUAAAUGUCGUCGAGCUGGUUUAUAUAUAUCCCAAAAAUACUAAAAUUAGUUGAACUUUAACAGGAAGCUUCAUCUGAUUUUUCUCAUUCAGUUAAACAAAAGGAUAUUACUAUACUAUGACAGAAAGUAAAUCAGGAGUAGAGAAAGCACUCAAGAAGCCAAUAUGUGGUUCAUUGCCAGUUUCUUCUGUCAUCUACCAGUCCACUCCAAUUCUCAAAACAUAAAUGAUACUCUUCUUAGCCAGCAAACAAACUGAUGCCAUUAAAAUCUAAUCUGGACAAAGCUUGCCAAUAAAUAUAUAAAUAUUCUUGAAAAAUGUCUUGCCUGCUUAUGCGCGCGUGUGUGUAUGUGAUUAUCACCAGAUGAUUUUAGAAGCCAAAAGAUACAAAAGUACCAACUAUUAAUAUUAUGAUUUAACCAUAAUAUAUAUCAUAAAAAAUCCCUUCCUGGAGAAGCAUCUUGUUUGAACAAUGUUCCAAUCAAUUUGAUUAUAACACAAAUUAGGUUUGCAUUCUAACAUCUUCAUGAGAAUCAUAAUUAACCAUCAAAGCGAUAGAGAUAUGUUCUAUUACAAUAUGGCAUACCUCCCCACCAUGCUCCAAAACAGUGUCUUCGACAAUAUCACUUAGCAUCUCAACUGAACGACAAAACCCAAAGAUACAGAGCCUUCUGCCCAUAUCAAGUCCAUUUGUUGCUGCAAUAUCAAACAGUGCUCCCAAACAUAAGCCCUGAUUUGGGUCCAUAUAAUCACUCUCUUAAAAUCUUUGAAAUCUCAGAGAAGUUUUUAACCUGCCUUGCUUCUUCUUUUAGCAAAUGCCCAUUUGAAUCAAUAGAUCAAACAGCAUAUAUCAGUGAUCAGCAUUUGGCUUUUCCAAGUACACACGCAAGUGAAAGGAGAAUUUUGAAAUAUGAAAACACCAAAGAAACAGUGAAAGAACUUGGUCUGUAAAAAAAGAUGGUGUUAGAAUAACUAGGCAUGAGCUGAGAUCAUAACACUCAAAUGACAAAGAAAACCAAAAUUUCACACAAAAGAAAAAGAAAAAAAUAAUAGCAAGACCAAAACAGCGUACAUCUGAAGAAUUGACUAGCUGUGGAACAACAGAGCCUUCUAUUUGAAAGAGGCCAUCAGCGGUGAACAACGUAACUUUCUCCUCCUGAACCCAUUCAAUAGCUGCAAAUUCAUUCACUAAAGACCAUCGAAUCAUAAAAAAUUAACAAGAUGACAAAUUUGACAAUGUUGUAUCAAUUUCGUCUUAUAACUCCGACAAAUUCUCCCAAUCAGAAAAAGAUAAACAAAUUCCCAGCCUUAAUAAUCAAAUGAACUGUUUGAAUCAUUGGAUUUAAUAGCCCAUGUUCUAAUUAAUAGAUGCAGUCAUCACAUACUAAUGAUUAAAAACUAAAACUAAAUAAUGUAUUUGAGAAAAUGAAAAAGGCAAAUGGAGCAACGAUAGAAGUUACGAUUAACACCAUCGGACCAGAGGAAUGAACCUAGAGAAUCGUCGCCGAGGAAGUUACCGGAAUCGGAAGCUUUGGAGGUAAAGCGAAAGGAGCGAGAAGAGCGAGAAAGGGAAAAAGAGAAGUUAGAACAAGGAGAGGGAAAAGAGGGAGGUGAAGUGGAGAGGAAGGAAUUGGAAUCCCAGGAGCGAGAAAUGGAAGGGAUUGAAGAGAAGCGCGAGCAACAGAGGGCAGAGGUUUCCGCCAUUGGACAGAGAGGACGGAAAAGAUUCU
rnacentral:misc_RNA from 1 species